rnacentral:rRNA from 1 species
UACGAAGGGGGCUAGCGUUGUUCGGAAUUACUGGGCGUAAAGCGCGCGCAGGCGGCUAUCCAAGUCAGUGGUGAAAGCCCGGAGCUCAACUCCGGAACUGCCAUUGAAACUGUUUAGCUUGAGGACGAGAGAGGUGAGUGGAAUUCCCAGUGUAGAGGUGAAAUGCGCAGAUAUCAGGAGGAACACCCGUGGCGAAGGCGGCUCUCUGGAACGGUACUGACGCUGAGACGCGAAAGCGUGGGGAGCGAACAGG